rnacentral:lncRNA from 1 species
GAUAGCUUGGCUAUAUACAUGAGGUACCAGUACCUAGUCAAUGAUAGCUUGGCUAUAUACAUGGGGUACCAGUACCUAGUCAAUGAUAGCUUGGCUAUAUACAUGUGGUACCAGUACCUAGUCAAUGAUAGCUUGGCUAUAUACAUGGGGUACCAGAACCAAGUCAAUGAUAGUUUGGCUAUAUACAUGGGGUCAGAACCAAGUCAAUGAUAGCUUGGCUAUAUACAUGGGGUACCAGAACCAAGUCAAUGAUAGCUUGGCUAUAUACAUGGGGUACCAGUACCAAGUCAAAAAUAGUUGCCAAAUGAUGACCGGGAAGUGGCCAGUCUUUAGAGCAGGGCUCUCCAACCCUGUUCCUGGAGAGCUACCGUCCUGUAGGUUUUAACUCCAACCCUGUUCUUGGAGAGCUACCGUCCUGUAGGUUUUAACUCCAACCCUGUUCCUGGAGAGCUACCAUCCUGUAGGUUUUAACUCCAACCCUGUUCCUGGAGAGCUACCNNNNNNNNNNNNNNNNNNNNNNNNNUCAAGUUUAUUAUAUCUCUCUCUCUUUGUCUGGUCCGUUUAUUAUAUCUCUCUCUCUUUGUCUGGUCAGUUAAUUAUAUCCUCUCUUCCUCUUUGUCUGGUCAGUUUAUUAAAUCUCUCUCUCUUUGUCUGGUCAGUUAUAUAUCUCUCUCUCUUUGUCUGGUCAGUUUAUAUAUCUCUGCUCUCUUGUCAUGGUCAGUUUAUCAAUCUACUCUCUCUUUGUCUGGUCAGUUUCAUUAUAUUCUCUCUCUUUGUCUGGUCAAAGUUUAUAUAUCUCUCUCUCUUUGUCUAGGUAGUUUUAUUAUAUCUCUCUCUCCUUGUCUGGUCAGUUUUAUAUUAUCUCUCUCUCUUUUGUCUGGUCAGUUUAUAUCUGCUCUCUCUUUGUCUGGGUCAGUUUUUAUUAUAUCUCUCUCUCUUUGUCUGGUCAGUUUAUGUAUAUCUCUCUCUCUUGUCUGGUCAGUUUAUUAUAUCUCUCUCUCUUGUCUGGUCAGUUUUUAUUAUAAUCUCUGCUCUCUUUGUCUGGUCAGUUUAUUAUAUCUCUCUCUCUUUGUCUGGUCAGUUUUUUAUAUCUCUCUCUCUUUGUCUGGUCAGUUUAUUAUAUCUCUCUCUCUUUGUCUGGUCAGUUUAUUUAUAUCUCUCUCUCUUGUCUGGUCAGUUUCUUAUAUCUCUCUCUCUUUGUCUGGUCAGUUUAUUAUAUCUCUCUCUCUUUGUCUAGUCGAGUUAGUAUCUGCUCUCUGUCUGGUUCAGUUUAUUAUAUCUCUCUCGGUCUUUGUCGGUGUCAGUUUAUAUACUCUCUCUCUCUUUGUCUAGUAGUUUUUUUAUAUUCUUCUCUGUCUGGUCAGUUUAUAUACUCUCUCCUUGUCUGGUCAGUUUAUUUAUCUCUCCUCUCUUUGUCUAGUCAGUUUUUUAUAUCUCUCCUGUCUGGUCAGUUUAUUUAUCACUCUCUCUUUGUCUGGUCAGUUUAUUAAUCCUCUCUCUUUGUCACUGGUCAGUUUAUUAUAUCCUCUCUUCCUCUUUUGUUCUAGUCAGUUUUAUUAUAUCUCUCUGUCUAGUCAAGUUUAUUAUACUCUCUCUCUCUUUGGUCUGGUCAGUUUAUUAUAAUCUGUCUGGUCAGUUUAUAUAUCUACUCUGUUCUGGUCAGUUUAUUAAAUCUCUCAUGCUCUUUGUCUGGUAGUUUCACUCUCACUUCACUCUCACUCCUCUCUUUGGUCUGGUCAGUUUAUUAUAUCUGUCUGGUCAGUUUCUUUAUCUCUCUCUCUUUGUCUGGUCAGUAUUUAUUCAUAUCUCUCUCUCUUUGUCUGGUCAGUUUAUUAUAUCUUCUCUCAUCUUUGUCUGGUCAGUUAUUAUAUCUCUCUGCUCUUUGUCCUGGUCCAGUUUUUAUUAUAUUCUCUCUCCUUUGUCUGGUCAUGUUUAUUAUAUUCUUUCUCUCUUUGUCCUGGUCAGUUUAUUAUAUCUCUCUCUCUUGUCUUGGUCAGUUUAUUAUAUUUCUCUCUUUGUCUAGUCAGUUUUAUUAAAAUAUCUCUCUGUCUGGUCAGUUUAAUUAUAUCUCUCUCUUUUGUCUGGCAGUUUAUGUUAUAUCUCUCUGCUCUUUGUCUGGGUCAGUUUAUUAUAUCUCCUCUCUCUUUGGUCUGGUCAGUUUAUUAUAUCUCUUCUUCUUUGUGACUGGUCAGUUUAUUAAUAUCUCUUCUCUUUGUCUGGUCAGUUAUUAUAUCUCUCUCUCUUUGGUCGGUCAGUUUAUUAUAUCUCUCCUCUUUGUCUGGUCGUUAUUAUAUCUCUCUCUCUUUGUCUGGUCAGUUUUAUUAUAUCUCUCUCUCUUGUCUGGUAGUUUAUUAUAUCUGUCUCUCUCUUUGUCUGGUCAGUUUAUUAUAUUCUCUCUCUUUGUCUGGUCAGUUUCUUAUAUCUCUCUCUCUUUUGUCUGGUCAGUUAUUAUAUCUCUCUCUCCUUUGUCUGGUCAGUUUAUUAUAUCUUCUCUCUUUGUCUGGUCAGUUUAUUAUAUCUCUCUCUCUUUGUCUGUCAGUUUAUUAAUAUCUCUCUCAUCUUUGUCUGUCAGUAUUAUUAUCUCUCUCUCUUUGUCUGGUCAGUUAUAUAUCUCUUCUCUCUUGUCUGGUCGUUUAUUAUAUUAUCUCUCUCUCUUUGUCUGGUCAGUUUAUUAAAGAUAUCUCUCUCUCUUUGUACUGGUCAAGUUUAUUAUUAAUUCUCUCUCGUUUGUCUGGUCCAGUUUUAUUAUUCUCUCCUGCUUUGUCUAAGUCAGUUAUUAAUUCUGCUCUCUUUGUCUAGUCAGUUUUAUUAUAUCUCUCUGUCUAGUCCAGUUUAUUAUAUCUCUUCCUCUGUCUGGUCAGUUUAUAUAUAUCUCUGUCUGGUCAGUUUAUAUAUCUCUCUCUCUCUUUGUCGGUCAGUUUAUUAUAUCUCUCUCUCUCUUGUCUGGUCAGUUUUAUUAUACUCUCUCUCUCUUUGUCUGGUCAGUUAUUAUUAUCUCUCUCAUCUCUUUGUCCUUGGUCAGUUUAUUUAUCUCUCUCUCCUCUUUGUCUGGUCAGUUUAUUAUCUUUCUCUUUGUCUAGUUUCAGUUUAAUUUAUAUCUCUCUGGUCCUGGUCAGUUUAUUAUAAUUCGUCUCUCUCUCUGUCUAGUCAGUUUAUUAUAUCUCUCUCUCUCUGUCUGGUAGUUUAUUAUAUCUCCUCUCUCUCUGUCUGGUCAGUUUAAAAUAUAACUCUCUCUCUCUUUCUGGGGUUGGUCAGGUUAUUAUAUCCUUCUCUCUCUCUGUUCUUGGUCAGUUUAU